rnacentral:rRNA from 1 species
UACGAGGGGGGCAAGCGUUGUUCGGAUUUAUUGGGCGUAAAGGGUGCGUAGGCGGUUUGGCAAGUCUUAUGUGAAAUCUUCGGGCUCAACCCGAAGCCUGCAUAAGAAACUGCCGGGCUUGAGUAUGGGAGAGGUGAGUGGAAUUUCCGGUGUAGCGGUGAAAUGCGUAGAUAUCGGGAGGAACACCAGUGGCGAAGGCGAUCAUCUGGGGUUGUUCUGACACUGAGGAGCGAAAGCUAGGGGAGCAAACGG